rnacentral:tRNA from 1 species
GCCUCGGUGGAGACGCUGGUAAACAGGUUGGACUCACAAUCCAAAGGUUGUCAGUUCGAAUCCCUGGGGUG